AUGUUAGAGCUGGAUAAAUCAUUUGAAAUUACAGAUCAAAAUUUGAAGAGAGAAAAAAAAUGCAACAUGAGGAUGCUCAGGGCUGGAAAGAAGGCUGCAGGCGGUCUCAUGAGAUAUACUUUCCAUAAGAGACAAGAAACCUGCCACUCUGCUAUUGAAAGAGGGCCUCCAUCUCUUCCCCUGAUGAAGAGGAGAAGGAGGAGGAGAUGGGGGAAAGCAGAGCAAGGAGGGGAGAAAGUAAGGACCCUGUAAGAAGGUAAGAUGAACAAGAGUGGUGGCAGAGGGAAAGAGAAGAGGGGGAGACAGAGACAGGAGAGGAGAGAUUUGUGAAUAAGGAAGCCCUAGCCUAGUGGCCACCAGUGGGAGUGAUACAACCCCUAAAAGAGUGAACAUUUACAGGGGCGGUCAUUGGUUCCAACAAUUGAAGUUCAGUGAUGGUAGAUACCGAGGAACGCGUGAGAUGGCCCCACAACUAAAUAGUUCCACAUCCUACUUAACUGUCAAAGUAAUUCAAGUACGUGACAAAUUCAGGACUCAAGUGUGUUUUCCACAUUAACACAGUAUUUUUUCAGGGCACCUGGGUGGUUCAGUGGUUGAGCAUCUGCCUUUGGCUCGGGGGGUAGGAUGAUCCCGGGGUCCUGGGAUUAAGUCCCACAUCGGGCUCCCCUCAGGACGCCUGCUUCUCCCUCUGCUUAUGUCUCUGCCUGUCUCUCCGUGUCUCUCUCAUGAAUAAAUAAAUAAAGUAUUUUUAUUUAAAGUGUUUUUGCUUGAUUUUGAUAUAGGCUGGAUAUCUCAGCAAUGCCACUAAAUUUGAAGGAAAAUUGUAUGUUGCUUUAUUGAUGACUUUUUUUCUUUUUUUGUAACCAGGGGAAGAUUAUAUGCUGUUUUAUUAAUAACUUAGAUUACUCACCACUGGGAAAAUCUUAUCUCCUGAGGUAAGGCUACUUUUGGUAUGUGAGUCACACUACGCGUUUGUGGUGUGCAUACUUGUAUUUGCAUAUACAGGUGGAAGCAUUUGACUACAUCAUUAUGACAUUACUAUAGUUGGUCCUGAACAGUAAUCAUAUUAAUUUAAUUUCUACUUACUUUCCUUUUGUUUCUUCUUUAUGAUUCAGCUGGGGCAUUACACUGAUUUUUAAUUAUGUAUAUAAGUAGAUUGUAGUAUCUAUGAAAGUCAUUUUAAGAUAAAAGAGUUUUAAUUUAAAAAACUUCACAGGUUAGGGGGUGUUGGGG
rnacentral:lncRNA from 1 species